rnacentral:rRNA from 1 species
CGGUAACAGCUCAAAUUUGAAAUCUGGCUCUUUCAGGGUCCGAGUUGUAAUUUGUAGAAGAUGCUUCGAGUAUAGCUCUGGUCUAAGUUCCUUGGAACAGGACGUCAUAGAGGGUGAGAAUCCCGUAUGUGACUAGGCGCUUUUGCUCAUGUGAAGCUCUUUCGAC